UUACAGUUUACGCUAGGAAUCCCUAACUCACACCAGCGGCAGCCACGACCCACCAAAGGAAAGACAACGUUCGUGAAAAGGCAUUUCACCGGCGAAUUCGAGAAGAAAUACGAACGUAAAUGUAAAACAUCUUCCUUCACAGCCACGGCCCACCGCAAGG